ACGGGAGGCAGCAGUGGGGGAUAUUGCACAAUGGGGGAAACCCUGAUGCAGCGACGCCGCGUGAGUGAAGAAGUAUUUCGGUAUGUAAAGCCCUAUCAGCAGGAAAGAUAAUGACGGUACCUGACUAAGAAGCACCGGCUAAAUACGUGCCAGCAGCCGCGGUAAUACGUAGGGGGCAAGCGUUAUCCGGAUUUACUGGGUGUAAAGGGAGCGUAGACGGCGAGGCAAGUCUGAAGUGAAAGCUCGGGGCUCAACCCCGGAACUGCUUUGGAAACUGUUUUGCUAGAGUGCAGGAGAGGCAAGUGGAAUUCCUAGUGUAGCGGUGAAAUGCUUAGAUAUUAGGAGGAACACCAGUGGCGAAGGCGGCUUGCUGGACUGUAACUGACGUUGAGGCUCGAAAGCGUGGGGAGCAAACAGGAUUAGAUACCCUGGUA
rnacentral:rRNA from 1 species